rnacentral:rRNA from 1 species
AGUGAACGCUGGCGGUAGGCCUAACACAUGCAAGUCGAACGGCAGCACAGUAAGAGCUUGCUCUUACGGGUGGCGAGUGGCGGACGGGUGAGGAAUACAUCGGAAUCUACUUUUUCGUGGGGGAUAACGUAGGGAAACUUACGCUAAUACCGCAUACGACCUACGGGUGAAAGCAGGGGAUCUUCGGACCCUGCGCGAUUGAAUGAGCCGAUGUCGGAUUAGCUAGUUGGCGGGGUAAAGGCCCACCAAGGCGACGAUCCGUAGCUGGUCUGAGAGGAUGAUCAGCCACACUGGAACUGAGACACGGUCCAGACUCCUACGGGAGGCAGCAGUGGGGAAUAUUGGACAAAGGGCGCAAGCCUGAUCCAGCCAUACCGCGUGGGUGAAGAAGGCCUUCGGGUUGUAAAGCCCUUUUGUUGGGAAAGAAAAGCAGCAGGUUAAUACCCCGCUGUUCUGACGGUACCCAAAGAAUAAGCACCGGCUAACUUCGUG